GACUAACGCUGACGGUGUGCAUAAUACAUGCAAGUCGAACGGACAAUGAGAAAGUGGCAACACUUUUUCAAAGUUAGUGGCGAACGGGUGCGUAACGCGUGGGUAAUCUGCCUUGAAGAUUAGGAUAACUCCUCGAAAGAGGAGCUAAUACUGAAUGUGCUAUAUUUUUCUUAUGUAAAAUAUAGUAAAAGGUAGCCGCAAGGCCUCCGCUUCAAGAUGAGCCCGCGUCCUAUUAGCUUGUUGGCAGGGUAAAGGCCUACCAAGGCUAUGAUGGGUAGCCGGUCUGAGAGGAUGGUCGGCCACACUGGGACUGAGAUACGGCCCAGACUCCUACGGGAGGCAG
rnacentral:rRNA from 1 species